rnacentral:rRNA from 1 species
ACUCAAAGGAAUAGACGGGGGCCCGCACAAGCAGCGGAGCGUGUGGUUUAAUUCGAGGCUACACGAAAAACCUUACCUGGGUUUGACAUGUGCGUAGUAGGGAACCGAAAGGGGACCGACCUUCGGGAGCGCAGACAGGUGCUGCAUGGCUGUCGUCAGCUCGUGUCGUGAGAUGUACGGUUAAGUCCGCAAACGAGCGCAACCCUCAGGAGCAGUUACAGGUGUCUGCUCCGACGGCCCCCGGCAAGGGGGAGGAAGGUGGGGAUGACGUCAAGUCAGCAUGGCCUUGAUACUCAGGGCGACACACACGCUACAAGGGGCGGCACAAUGGGACGCCAAGCCGCGAGGCGGAGCCAAUCCCGAAAGCCGUUCGCAGUUCGGAUUGCAGGCUGCAACCCGCCUGCAUGAAGGAGGAGUUGCUAGUAACCGCGGGACAGCCAGACUGCGGUGAAUACGUUCCCGGGCCUUGCACACACCGCCCGU